CCCCCACUCUUCUUCUCACCUGCUCACCUUCCCUCCACCCCGUUCAAACAAACGAAAAAAAAGGAAAACCUUCUCCACCAUUCCAUAGAUCUGCAAACCCUAAACCCUAGAGCAUCUGUCCGCUUGUCGACCUGCCAAGCCAUGUGGCCCUUCUCCAAGUCCAAGGAGCCGCUCCCGCUGAUCCGCUGCCCGGUCUGCGAUGUAGGCCUCGUCAAGCGGUUCGUCUCCAGGACGGCCAAGAAUCCGGGGCGCCCGUUCUACAGAUGCGAGUACUAGGGAAAGGGGGGCUGCAGCUUCUGGAAGUGGGAGGAGGAGUACGCCGCCUACCUCCGGGCGCGCUGGGGCCACAUCACCUCGGUGCCCGCCGUCGCCGCCGGGCCCGCCGAGCGCUAAUCCCAUUCCUCGGUCGGCGUGGCGCUGCUGCUGCUGCUGCACAGCGCUUCCGCGCCUGACAGACAUUUACCCUGCUUUGCCGUAGCGCGUUUCAGAUCCAGUCUCCUGGUCUGUGAGUUGUACUAAUGAUGGUCGCAAGCUUCGCCCGAGAGAGUCGAGAGUCUAAUGUCGUUCUCAUGCUGUCCCCAACUGUUAAGUAAUGGACCACUUCUAAUUCCAGGUUAUUACUGCCUGCCUUGGUUGACAGUUUUAUGCAGAGUUGCGGGUGCUGGCCUAGAGGAGGCCUUGUUUUAAAAUUGUCACUGAUUGUUCUUCAGGUAUCAAUGCCUGAAGCAAAAAUGAGCACGGAGAGAAAUGAUCGCUGUUUUUUUUCCUCUGUGCUUCGUGUGGACAAAUCUUUUUUCCAGGUACCAAUACCUGGUGGCGAGCAAUGGUGAACAUCGCUAAGUUCCACCCUUUUCACUACCAACACCAGGAAUGCGCCAAAAAGAUGAAUUUUUACCAUUCGUUUGGAAUUUGGUGCACAAGAGCUUUGCCUUCUAUUCCACAAUUUGGUGCACACAGUUGUUUCUCAUUCAAGUGAAAAUGAUUCUUCAAAGAGAACAAAUUUUGUAUAGCUGGAAGGUUUUGUUUGCUGCAUUCAUGAACAUCAUGAAGUUCCAUCUCUUUCACUACAACAUCAUGUAUGCGGCAAAAAAAAAUAGGAGUUCACUUCUUUCUGAAUUUGGUGUGGAAGAGUUUUGCCUUCUAUUCCAUCAUUACUUUGUGUCA